CAACCCUUUAGUAAAUCCAAGCAAACUUUUAAUAAAUCCAAGCAACCCUUUCGUAAAUCCAAGCAAACUUUUUGUAAAUUCAAGCAACCUUUUCGUAAGCGUCCCCGGAUUGGACCGGGAGAUCGAAUUGAUUAUAGAAACAUGAGUUUAAUUAAUAUAUUUAUUAGUGAACAAGGAAAAAUAUGUUCUGAGAUUGAUGUUGCUAUGACUUUGCCAUGCUUAAUGCUUGUCACUAGGGCCCGAGUGCCAUGA
rnacentral:rRNA from 1 species